UAUGUGAUCGUCUCUCGCAUAUCAAUAAGCGGAGGAAAAGAAACUAACAAGGAUUCCCCUAGUAACGGCGAGUGAAGCGGGAAGAGCUCAAAUUUGAAAUCUUAAAGGGUUUCCCUUUACGAAUUGUAGUUUAAAGAAGUGUUUUCUGUUGAGGGUUUUGGUAAAAGUUCUUUGGAAUAGGACAUCAUAGAGGGUGAGAAUCCCGUAUUUGACCUUUACUUUCAACUUUGUGAUACACUUUCAAAGAGUCGGAUUGUUUGGGAAUGCAGUCCAAAAUGGGUGGUAAAUUUCAUCUAAAGCUAAAUAUUGGCGAGAGACCGAUAGCGAACAAGUACCGUGAGGGAAAGAUGAAAAGAACUUUGAAAAGAGAGUUAAACAGUACGUGAAAUUGUCAAAAGGGAAGCGUUUGACACCAGUGUUGUUUUUCUGAAAAUCAAUUAAAGAACUGUUUAUGCUAAGUUGUUUAGACUUUAUCAGCUAACUGUUUAGUUUUGAGCUUUUCUUUAAUGCACUUUUCAGAUAACAAGUCAACAUCAAUUUCUUUUGCUGUAAAAAAGCUUGAGGAAGGUGGCUUGAGAUUCGUCUUAAGUGUUUAUAGCCUCUUGCCUAUGCAGUCGGAGAGAUUGAGGUUUGCAGCGUAGAUCCUUCGGGGCUAAAUGCAUUUGUGCUAAGUUAUAGCAUUUUAUAGACAACUUGUUGACUAUGAUUUGUCUUGUAGCUUACUCGCUUAUGUUAUUUUACCUACGCUUAGGAUGUUGACGCGCGUGUGUGCGUG
rnacentral:rRNA from 1 species